CUUCCUAGACGCCGCUUGCGGACCGGUUCCUGUCACCCCGGGACAGGAAGUGGGGUCAGGAAUUAAGUAACUCGCCCAAAGCCACGUCCACUGGGUGGUGGCAGAACUGGGCUAUCUUCACCCCAAGGCACGCUUGAAGACCUUCACCACCAAGGGUGGGGGUGCUGCGUGGGGCAGCGGUGCACCCCAGGUCCGCUAAUUGGUUUCCGGGUGACCCUGGCGGCGCUCAAUCGAUUUCCCCUCCUUGGCAGCAUCAGCUGGAAGAGGGAAAGCCCCUUGGAAAUCAAUUACAGCCCCUUCGGUCCACCUGAGGGACGGGGCCUUCAGCCACUGGUGAGGGGUGGGCUUCAUGCCUCCAGGACAGGCCCAAGGGCGUGCGCUGCGCUCCCCACCCACCUCUCCAGCCAGAACAUCCUGGGUCAGAGCUGCCCCUGAGGCCCCCGCCUGCCAUGCCCCAGCUGGCACGAAGCCACCCACCUGUACCAGUGAGCGGCCUGCCCAGCCGCACAGCCUGGCCCCGGGGUCAGGAGGCAGAGGCCCACCCCGUGGCUUCGCAGGAAUCUCUCCCAGGCCUUCCCUUGACAGUGCUUGUCUCCCCGACCCCCGCGCUGGGAGGUGCUGUUCACAGCAGGGGAGAGGCGGUGCAAGGAGGCUUCACCCAGGAGCCUCAGCCCAAGGGGUCUCCCUGGAGGACUGGCCAGCUGGUCACAGCACCAGUCCUAGCAGGACAGGCAGCCAAGGAUGCAGAUGAACGACCCAGGCGCUGCCCGCUGUGCAGAAGAAGUUGCGAAAGGAGCGUUAAGGGGGACAAGCCGCCACCCCGGACAGGAGCACUGAUCCAGAACUUUCCAGACUGCGGGAAAAAGCAAAUGGCGCCCCAACAAGGAGCAGCCCGAAAAGAAAACGAAGACACCAAUUCCAUUUACAAAAAGGACAGGAUACCUUGGAACAGAUGUAACAGAGAAGAUGGAGACUUCUUGGAGGACCGCAGCGCGCGGCGGAAGGCGGACCGGCCCAGCACACCGUCGCUGUGGGCCCAGGGGCACAAAGGCCCAGUGGCCAUCAGUGGCAGUGCUCCACGGCGAUCUCAUUGCAAAUAAAACCCCUGUCGCCUUUUUGCAGAAAUGGGAAGGCCAACCCUCAAAUGCAUAUGGAAUUGCAAUGCCCCCAAAUAGCCAGAACAGUCAUGAAAAAGCCAGGAGGGUUUGUAUUUCCCUGUUUCAAAACUGACUACAAAACCACAGUGAUCCACACGGCGGUGCUGGGCCGAGGGUGGGCUGCCCGGCCAGGGAAGCGAGAUGGAGAGCCCGGGAACGGACACGAACAUCUCCCACAGCUGCCUUUCAACAAGGCGAAUGGACCCCUCCUCGGGGCGAACGGUCUCGCAGCACAUGGCUGGGACCGCGGGCCGCGCGCAUGCCCGGGAUCGAAGGUGGGCUCUCAGCUCACACCGCACGCGAACACGAACUCCAGUGGGUCGACGGCAUGAAUCUAAGAACCGAAACCGUAGGACUCCUAGGGAAAAACACAGAGUAAGUCUUCAUGACCUCGGGUUUGACACGGGGACAUCUGCAACAAAAGAAAAGGUAGUUGGACUUCCUAAAAAGGACACAUUUUGUGCAUCAGACAUUUACCAAGAGUGUGGAAAACGUCUCCAGAGAAGAUAUUUGCAAAUCGUAUGCCUGAUAAGGUUUAAUGUCCAGAACACACAAAGACCUCUUACAACUCAACAACCAAGAGACAGACAACCCGAUUCCAAAGUGGGAAAGACCCUGACCACUCUUCCAAAGAAGACCCACGGAUGGCCAGCGGGCGGACGGAAGGAAGCUCGGCGUCACUAGUUAUUGGACUGCGGAAUCAAAACCACCGUGAGUGGCCACCCCACCCCCGCGGCACCGGCCAAAAUCCCAAAGACGGGCCGCGGCUGGUGCAGCGGGAGGCGGAGGGAGUGAAGCUGCGGGCCCCGCGCAGGCGCUGCUGAGCCUACGGUCACCGCGCCGCUCGGCGACUCCACUCCGAGCUAUGUUCCCCAGAGAAACGAACAGGCGGCCGCACGGGAGCCCGUGCCCGAGCAGCGCCAUUCACCACAGACGAGGGUGU
ensembl:lncRNA